rnacentral:rRNA from 1 species
ACUCCUACGGGAGGCAGCAGUGGGGAAUCUUGGACAAUGGGCGCAAGCCUGAUCCAGCCAUGCCGCGUGAGUGAUGAAGGCCUUAGGGUCGUAAAGCUCUUUCGCCAGGGAUGAUAAUGACAGUACCUGGUAAAGAAACCCCGGCUAACUCCGUGCCAGCAGCCGCGGUAAUACGGAGGGGUUAGCGUUGUUCGGAAUUACUGGGGCGUAAAGCGCGCGUAGGCGGGGUUGUUAAGUUAGAGGUGAAAUCCCGGGGCUCAACCCCGGAACUGCCUUAAUACUGGCAACCUAGAGUUCGAGAGAGGUGAGUGGAAUUCCGAGUGUAGAGGUGAAAUUCGUAGAUAUUCGGAGGAACACCAGUGGCGAAGGCGGCUCACUGGCUCGAUACUGACGCUGAGGUGCGAAAGUGUGGGGAGCAAACAGGAUUAGAUACCCUGGUAGACUGUCA